UUAGAACUACAUUUAAGUUAGAAUGUAGUUGCACUAUAAUUAUACUGUAUUUUAUUUGAUGAGAAGAAAAAAAUUGUAGAGGGAUGUAUAAUAAAAUUGAAGAAAAAGUUGGGGGGCUUUGUGCAAUAUUUGUAACUAAUAGGGCCCGCGUGGGACCGGAGCGAUUACCCGCCAUUGGAUCUCGCGCAGCCGCAGCCCGCAGGCGUGCAUGGUGACGAAAGAUGCCCACGGCCGCACGCCGCCCCCCAUCUCUAUCACCUCCCACUCCAGCGGCGCAACCUCCCCUUCACCCCGACACCGGCGCCGGCGCCUCCCUCUCCUCAGCCAUCGACCUCCUUGCCGCGCCUUCUGCGGCGGCUGGGGAAUGCGGACCUCCGGCGCCGGCCCGCCUCGUUCCAGCCAUGCUAGCCCGACGCAAACCCCGCAUCGACGAGGCCAUGGAGCCGUACGAGUACGAGAAGAUUUUGCAACGAGAAUCGAUCGAGAACUCUCUGCUUCUGAAUUUACAAUGAGCGUAUAUGUGUUUUCCAUCAUAACGUUCAGGGGCUUCAAGGCAUUGGAUCGUACUAGUACCAUCACAAGAAAGCAGAUAUCAAACAUUUGUGUCUGAAACAGCUGUUGAAUACUGAAUACUUAGGUCUAGUGCAUGAUGCAUUGAUGCCAACGAACAACGUUGAUUGCAAAUGAUCAUAACCUGACAGUGGCAGUACUACUGUUUAGCUCACAAGUUUGCAUCUGUGUCACUGUGUGCCAGAAAAUUUGGAAAUGGAGUAGAAAACUAAACUUGGAGGAUGUCAGGACGUUUGGUUAGGUAGACUCUAGACUGUAUAGCAUUACCUUCAGAAGAAGACCAUAAAAUUCAGAUGAGCUAUUUUAGAUGUGACGCAGAGUAGCAGACAAUGUGCUUGGAAGUUGGAACUUCAGAACAAAUUCUAAUUAUUGUAUUGUAUUCUUCAAGAUGGGAAGGACAAAUUAGUCUGGGGGCAUAUAUAUAUAAAAGGAGAAUUUAGUGUUGAAAUUUAAUCAGUUGUUGAAAAAUUGUAACGCUGGUUAUCACUAUAAAUUUUUGGUUAAUAGAAAAAAGGAGUCCUUACAAAUAAAGGAUAUGCUCUCAAAUGAAGGGGUGGAAGCCUGGAAGGGAGAAAUUUGGGCAAGAAUUGGUGUUCAAAGCCUGGCAGACAUUAGUCCGGUCACAGUGCAAGCCACUCAAAAGAGUUUCUCUAGCGGCUGGGCAACUCAGAGAUUGGCCUAAGCAACCUCAUCCCACAGUGCAGUGAUGCACUUUGCGUGUCCACGCGCGGCGCGAGGUCACGGGGCGUCGGAGACAAGCCCUCCACAGCUCGCGGAAUCAGGCGAUCGGCGCCGCGCGUUACCCAGACCGAGCGAAGUUCUCCGCGUCCCUGCGUGGGGGCGAGUCGCCAUCUUUAGUUACAACCGCGCGCAACACUUAAGCAGAUUUCGGAUGUGGCGAAGGAAGUAAUGCGCCACGUCCUUGCACUGUGACCGGCCUUAUCAUUUUGCUUGGCAUGCCAUUUGGUUCACUAGAGGUACGUUUCCAAACUAAAAAACGAGGUUAUUCCAAUUUACACUUUGCUGAUAUGCAAUGCGCAAUGCUUUAA